UGCGCAGGCGGAAUGAUAAGUUAGUGGUGAAAGCCCCCGGCUCAACCGGGGAACUGCCAUUAAUACUGUCAUUCUUGAGUAUAGUUGAAGUGGGCGGAAUGUAUCAUGUAGCGGUGAAAUGCUUAGAUAUGAUACAGAACACCGAUAGCGUAGGCAGCUUGCUAAACUAUAACUGACGCUCAGGCACGAAAGCGUGGGGAGCAAACAGGAUUAGAUACCCUGGUAGUCC
rnacentral:rRNA from 1 species